AUUUUUGCCGAAUUCCUUUUUAUUAAUUUUAAUUAAUUUUAUUUUAUUUUUUUUUUUAUACUAAUUUUAUCAUUAUAACUAAUUUUUUGUUAUUAAAAAUUAUUUUUCUAUAUAAAUUUAAAUAUAAAUUUAAAUUUUAAAAUAAAUAAAAUUAUUUAUAAAAAAUUAUAAUUUAUAAAAAAUAUAAAUUUUAAAAUAUUUAAAUAGUUUAUUAAUAUUAUAAAAAUUUAAUUUAAAGCUUGUCCCUUAAAAUAUUUAAUUAAAUAUAUAAUUUUAUAUAACAAAUUUAAAAAAUUAUUAAAUUAAUUUAAAAUUAAAUUUUUUUCUAAAAAAACUAGAUAUUUUUAAAAACGAUUAACAUUUCAUUUCAAAUUAAUUAUUUAAAAUAAUUAUGUCACAUUAACUUUAAUAAUUAACUAUCUCUUUUAAAUUCGAGAUAUUUUUAUUUAAAAAUAUUUUAUUAAUAAACUCUGAUACACAAGAUACAAUAAAUUAAAUUUACUUAAAUAAUAAUCGAUAUUUAACUUUAUUUCAAAAUUCUUUCACAAUACUAUUAAACUAUAAAUUAAUAAAUUUUUUCUAAAAAAUACUUUAACCCCCAUUAAUUAUUUUUUAUAAUUAUUUUUAUUAUUUAUUUUAUUAUAUUAAUUUUCCCCCA
rnacentral:rRNA from 1 species